UACGUAGGGUGCGAGCGUUGUCCGGAAUUAUUGGGCGUAAAGAGCUUGUAGGCGGUCUGUCGCGUCUGCUGUGAAAAUCCGGGGCUCAACCCCGGACUUGCAGUGGGUACGGGCAGACUAGAGUGUGGUAGGGGAGACUGGAAUUCCUGGUGUAGCGGUGAAAUGCGCGGAUAUCAGGAGGAACACCGAUGGCGAAGGCAGGUCUCUGGGCCGAUACUGACGCUGAGGAGCGAAAGCGUGGGGAGCGAACAGG
rnacentral:rRNA from 1 species